rnacentral:tRNA from 1 species
UGUAGCUCAGUGGUAAAGCAAUGGCCUGGCAUGCCUGAGGUCCUGGGUUCAAUUCCCAGUA